rnacentral:tRNA from 1 species
GCUGGUGUGGCUCAGUUGGUUGAGCAUUGACCUGUGCACUGAAAGGUCACCGGUUCGAUUCCCGGUCAAGGGCA